AGAGCGAACGCUGGCGGCAUGCUUAACACAUGCAAGUCGCACGAAGGUUUCGGCCUUAGUGGCGGACGGGUGAGUAACACGUAGGAAUCUAUCCAUGGGUGGGGGAUAACGGCGGGAAACUGCUGCUAAUACCGCAUGACACCUGAGGGUCAAAGGCGCGAGUCGCCUGUGGAGGAGCCUUCGUCCGAUUAGCUAGUUGGUGAGGUAAAGGCUCACCAAGGCGAUGAUCGGUAGCUGGUCUGAGAGGAUGAUCAGCCACAUUGGGACUGAGACACGGCCCAAACUCCUACGGGAGGCAGCAGUGGGGAAUAUUGGACAAUGGGCGAAAGCCUGAUCCAGCAAUGCCGCGUGGAUGAAGAAGGUCUUCGGAUUGUAAAGUCCUUUCGGCGGGGACGAUGAUGACGGUACCCGCAGAAGAAGCCCCGGCUAACUUCGCGCCAGCAGCCGC
rnacentral:rRNA from 1 species